GUCUUCUAGCCCUCUGGACCCUUCGAUUAGAGAUGGCCUUAGUUUUAGGGUAAACUUCCAUUUGACCCCUUGCACUAUUACUCUAGUUGAUUUGACACCCUGAACUAUUUGAAAUAAGUCAGUUAACCCUUUGUCGGUAGAUUCCAUCCAUUAUUUCGUCAAAUUCAAAAGAAAAUUAGUCUUUCCUUCAUCAAUUCUUAUUGUCAACUAUAACCAACAAUGUAAUUAUGACACGACAAAACAAAAUAAUGUGAAAUGGUCCGUUAUGUAAACGUUUGGUUGUUUAUGUUUACUCAUUAUGCUUUAUAUUUUUAAAUUAUUUUGUGUCCAUAUGUUAAAAUUUUAUUGGUGGUUAUAACUGACAAGUAACAAUUAAUGAUGAAUGACUAAUUUGCCAUUGAAUUUGACGGAAUUGAUUUUAAAUGUUCAAGGGGUUGAAGUACCAAAAAAAUAGUUUAAGGGGUCAAUUUCAACUAGAGUGAUAGUUCAAGGGGUUAAAUCGCAAUUUACCUUUAAUUUUAGGAAGAUUCUGAUGUCGUUUCUGCCGCUUUAUUUUUCGUUGAUUUAUGCCAUUCAAUUGAUAGUUCAAACUGAAGAGUGUGAGGAUAUACUUGCAUUUUGGCACUUAGGCCCUCAAUGGUCGAUAAAUGAAAACUAAUGAAAAAAACUUGAAAACUUUGAGUUUUAACGAUAAGAACAAAAUAAAAGGUAAAGUGAAUAGUACCAGAAUUGACGUUUUAGUGUAAAAAUGUGGUUUUUCGUUAAAGUGAACAGUAUUGGGAGCUUUUUGUUUAAGUUCUCGUUCGAAAAAGAAAAAAAAUGCACGUUAGUCCACGUAGGUAGAAGGCUACCAGAAAUUUUUCACUGUCAGCACAGUACAUUAAGUGUUAUACUAUUACGUAGUGAAGAAAUUUUUAUUUUCAAAUAUCCAACCACUUAUAUUAUUUCAUU
rnacentral:lncRNA from 1 species